rnacentral:rRNA from 1 species
AGAGUUUGAUCAUGGCUCAGAUUGAACGCUGGCGGCAGGCCUAACACAUGCAAGUCGAACGGUAACAGGAAGCAGCUUGCUGCUUUGCUGACGAGUGGCGGACGGGUGAGUAAUGUCUGGGAAACUGCCUGAUGGAGGGGGAUAACUACUGGAAACGGUAGCUAAUACCGCAUAACGUCGCAAGACCAAAGAGGGGGACCUUAGGGCCUCUUGCCAUCGGAUGCCCAGAUGGGAUUAGCUAGUAGGUGGGGUAACGGCUCACCUAGGCGACGAUCCCUAGCUGGUCUGAGAGGAUGACCAGCCACACUGGAACUGAGACACGGUCCAGACUCCUACGGGAGGCAGCAGUGGGGAAUAUUGCACAAUGGGCGCAAGCCUGAUGCAGCCAUGCCGCGUGUAUGAAGAAGGCCUUCGGGUUGUAAAGAUUUUUCAGCGGGGAGGAAGGGAGUAAAGUUAAUACCUUUGCUCAUUGACGUUACCCGCAGAAGAAGCACCGGCUAACUCCGUGCCAGCAGCCGCGGUAAUACGGAGGGUGCAAGCGUUGAUCGGAAUUACUGGGCGUAAAGCGCACGCAGGCGGUUUGUUAAGUCAGAUGUGAAAUCCCCGGGCUCAACCUGGGAACUGCAUCUGAUACUGGCAAGCUUGAGUCUCGUAGAGGGGGGUAGAAUUCCAGGUGUAGCGGUGAAAUGCGUAGAGAUCUGGAGGAAUACCGGUGGCGAAGGCGGCCCCCUGGACGAAGACUGACGCUCAGGUGCGAAAGCGUGGGGAGCAAACAGGAUUAGAUACCCUGGUAGUCCACG